UGUUGCUGCCAUGGUCAUCCUGCUCAGUAGGAGAGGAACAACAGGUUCAGACAUUUGGCCUAUGUCCUUGGCUGAGGAGCCAAUGGGGUAAAGCUACCAUAUGUGGGAUUAUGACUGAACGACUCUAAGUCAGAAUCCCGCCCAGGAGGGAUAUGGCAGCUCCACGGAGCUUUUGUUGGCCUCGGAUAGGCGAUCCUCGCCGUGCGCCGGGAACCGGGGUCUGGUGCAGACAGCCCUUCAUCCUGGGAAACGCGCUGCUGCCAGAAAGGCGGUCACUCCCUGACCCAUCACGUAAUGUGUUUGUGGGGAACCUGAUGCUAAGCUAUUCGUAGACGCCCUGCUUCUGGGUCAGGGUUUUCUAUGGAGCAGAGCAGCUCCCUCCCUGCCAUCUAUUGAAAAUCAGACCUCCACACAAGGGUCU
rfam:Pan troglodytes isolate Yerkes chimp pedigree #C0471 (Clint) chromosome 12, whole genome shotgun sequence.